rnacentral:rRNA from 1 species
UACAGAGGUCCCAAGCGUUGUUCGGAUUCACUGGGCGUAAAGGGUGCGUAGGUGGCCAGGUAAGUUUGGUGUGAAAGCUCGGAGCUUAACUCCGAAAAGUCAUUGAAUACUAUCUGGCUGGAGGGUCGGAGGGGAGACUGGAAUUCUCGGUGUAGCAGUGAAAUGCGUAGAUAUCGAGAGGAACACCAGUGGCGAAGGCGAGUCUCUGGAUGACUCCUGACACUGAGGCACGAAAGCUAGGGGAGCAAACAGG